rnacentral:rRNA from 1 species
AUUGAACGCUGGCGGACGGCCUAACACAUGCAAGUCGAGCGACGCAGCGAACGGGUGCGAAAUGACAAGGCAUCUGCCUAGUAGAGGGGGAUAACGACCGGAAACGGGCGCUAAUACAGCAUACUAUCAGAUGAGCCUAGGUCGGAUUAGCUAGUUGGUGGGGUAAAGGCCUACCAAGGCGACGAUCCGGAACUGGUCUGAGAGGAUGAUCAGUCACACUGGAACUGAGACACGGUCCAGACUCCGACGGGAGGCAGCAGGGGGGAAUAGUGGACAAUGGGCGACAGCCUGAGCCAGCCAUGCCCCGUGUGUGAAGCAGCUCUUCGGAUUGUAAAGCACUUUAAGUUGGGCGGCGGUACCAACAGAAUAAGCACCGGCUAACUUCGUGCCAGCAGCCGCGGUAAUAC